rnacentral:rRNA from 1 species
UACGAAGGGGGCUAGCGUUGCUCGGAAUCACUGGGCGUAAAGCGCACGUAGGCGGCUUUUUAAGUCAGGGGUGAAAUCCUGGAGCUCAACUCCAGAACUGCCUUUGAUACUGAGAAGCUUGAGUCCGGGAGAGGUGAGUGGAACUGCGAGUGUAGAGGUGAAAUUCGUAGAUAUUCGCAAGAACACCAGUGGCGAAGGCGGCUACCUGGACCGGUUCUGACGCUGAGGCGCGAAAGCGUGGGGAGCAAACAGG